rnacentral:rRNA from 1 species
GUUAUAUGGUCAAGCGAUGAAGCGCAUACGGUGGAUGCCUAGGCAGCCAGAGGCGAUGAAGGACGUUGUAGCCUGCGAAAAGGCUCGGUGAGGUGGCAAACAACCUGCGACCCGGGCAUGUCCGAAUGGGGAAACCCA